rnacentral:rRNA from 1 species
UUCCCUGGUGACCGAUAGCGGAUAGUACCGUGAGGGAAUGGUGAAAAGUACCGCGGGAGCGGAGUGAAAUAGUACCUGAAACCGUGUGCCUACAAGCCGUGGGAGCGUCGCCGUGUUCUUCGGAGCAUGGUCGUGACUGCGUGCCUUUUGAAGAAUGAGCCUGCGAGUUUGCGGUGUGUUGCGAGGUUAACCCGUGUGGGGAAGCCGUAGCGAAAGCGAGUCCGAACAGGGCGAUGUAGUAGCGCGCUCAAGACCC